UUCAAACAUAGAGUCAACAAACCAUUGUCAAAAAUGCCAUGGCAAAUUAUUUCAUUAGAAAAAUUAAUCGAGCAACCAUUGCUCGUUACAAAUAUUUGAUAUCCUUGUUUUAUCAAUAAGGGUAUAGAUACAAUAUUUCUAAUGAUCUUAGGCAUGUAAUAAUAAUUUGUUAGCUCUAAGAUCUUUCCAGAAGGAAACUUCAAGAUAUUUGUCCCUACAGCUU
rnacentral:lncRNA from 1 species